rnacentral:tRNA from 1 species
GCCUGGGUGGCUCAGUCAGUUAAGCGUCUGACUUUGGCUCAGGUCAUGAUCUCACGGUUUGUGGGUUCAAGCCCCGCAUCAGGCU